AGAUGUAAGUGUGAUCUGGCUGCAACAUCUGUCACCCAUGAUCUCUAGGGUUGAUCUCGUCGAUUUGGCUGCCCAGGCAGGUGUCCGCUCCCUCCCUCAGUGCUCCGUAUGUGUCCCCUCUCAAGAUAUGUGCUCUGUCAAAGAGGACGCUGUCUUAGUUUCUUUCUAGUUGUUGGGACAAAAUACCCGACACCCACCAGGGAAAGGAGGAAAGAUUUAUUCAGUUUG
rnacentral:snRNA from 1 species